rnacentral:rRNA from 1 species
UACGAAGGGGGCUAGCGUUGCUCGGAAUCACUGGGCGUAAAGCGCACGUAGGCGGAUUGCUAAGUCAGGGGUGAAAUCCUGGAGCUCAACUCCAGAACUGCCUUUGAUACUGGCGAUCUUGAGUCCGGGAGAGGUGAGUGGAACUCCGAGUGUAGAGGUGAAAUUCGUAGAUAUUCGGAAGAACACCAGUGGCGAAGGCGGCUCACUGGCCCGGUACUGACGCUGAUGUGCGAAAGCGUGGGGAGCAAACAGGG